AAUGAACGCUGGCGGCGUGCUUAACACAUGCAAGUCGAACGAGAAAGUCCUCUUCGGAGGACCGGUAGAGUGGCGAACGGGUGAGUAACGCGUAAGAAUUUCCCUUUUAGUGAAGAAUACCUCCGGGAAACCGGGGCUAAUACUGCAUACGUCCCUUCGGGGAGAAAGACGGCCUCUCGCUGUCGCUGAAAGAUAAGCUUGCGUACUAUUAGCUUGUUGGUGAGGUAAGGGCUCACCAAGGCUCUGAUGGUUAGCCGACCUGAGAGGGUGAUCGGCCACAUUGGGACUGAGAUACGGCCCAGACUCCUACGGGAGGCAGCAGUGGGGAAUAUUGCACAAUGGACGAAAGUCUGAUGCAGCGACGCCGCGUGGAGGAUGACGGUUUUCGGAUUGUAAACUCCUGUUAAGAGGGAAGAAAGAGGCUUGGUUAAUACCCAGGUCAGAUGACGGUACCUCUAGAGAAAGCUCCGGCUAACUUCGUG
rnacentral:rRNA from 1 species